UCCAAAACCAAACAAUAUCGUGGAGACCACGCAUGUCGCCUAGGAAUACUGGAUGAGCUCAGGAAUAAAUAAAACUAUCCAGAUAUACAGAGAGCUAGCUAGCUAGCUUACUCCUUGGACUGGGGCACAGAAACCGUCGCCGGUGGCGCCGCCGUGGCAGAGGCGGCCGCGGCGGCGCGGACAGCGGCCGAGAAUCUCCGGCAGGUGAUAACCGCGGCACGCGCCGGCCGGCUGCGGUGGCGG
rnacentral:lncRNA from 1 species